rnacentral:lncRNA from 1 species
CCGGUCAUUCAUUUCUGACCUCAAAUUGGUUUCCGCCGUAACAUGGAAGCUUGGUUCUCAUCACAGAAAUAUGUUCACUACUAACUGAAGACUGUCUUGUCACUAGCAACUGAAGAUGAUCUUCUUGUUGGAGUAUAACGUUCAGUACCAACUGAAGAUGGUCUUCUUGCCGGAGGAAUACGUUCAGGACUUCCAACUGAAGAUGGUGUUCAUGGUGGAGCAUCACUAAAUUCAUUAACAUCCCGGGCCCACCACUUGAAGCUUGGAUGGGACCUCAACUGAUUAGCCAUUUCGGGGCUCUCAAAUGAAAAUGGCACUUCAAGUCUAUAGAAGCUGUAUAAGUAGAGAUUGGAAAGUCUUUCAAGACUUCAGAAGAGAAG